UCCAUGAAAGUCAAGCAUUCUUUUGCAAAAACUCCAAGACUGCUAAUUGAAAUAUUUAUAAAUUUGACCUUCUCGUAAUACUCGCUUUGUUCCCUAAUUAAUUCUGAGUAUUUGGCCUUUUUGCGUUGAACAUUCUUUUCGAGAUUAGACUCGUACCCAACAGUUAGUUCCACGAUAUAUAAACAUCCACUUGAGGUUGACAGCAGCAAAUCAGGACGAUAACAGUCACCAGUAAUGAUGGAUGGACUUUUGUAUCCUGCGAGAUCCACAUAAAGACAUGAUCCGCUG